rnacentral:rRNA from 1 species
UACAGAGGUCCCAAGCGUUGUUCGGAUUCACUGGGCGUAAAGGGUGCGCAGGCUGUCGGGUAAGUCUGAUGUGAAAUCUCGCAGCUUAACUGCGAAACUGCAUUGGAGACUAUCUGACUAGAGGAAUGGAGGGGAGACUGGAAUACUUGGUGUAGCAGUGAAAUGCGUAGAUAUGAAGUGGAACACCAGUGGCGAAGGCGGGUCUCUGGACAUUUCCUGACGCUGAGGCACGAAAGCGAGGGGAGCAAACGGG